UAGAGAGAGAAAGUAGAUCUCGCCCAACACCGCUUCCUCCAAAUAAACCCACAUCGCUGUUUCUUCCAAACAACCAAAUCGAUGCUUUUUUCCGGCUUCUUGCAACGAAAUAGGGACAUCAUGUUUUGGGAGACCCUAGUUUGUUGGUGAGUUGAUUAUCAUCGAAAUUGAUUCUGGUGUUGGAGGUGCACUUUCUCUACAAUAUCGUUGUUUUAGCUGGAUCUUCAAUGAUUCUGCCAGGCCAGGCCAACCUCAGAUCUUCAACCGCGUUUUAAGAGUUUGCAAUC
rnacentral:lncRNA from 1 species